UGAGACGUCGUGACAUAUUGAUC
rnacentral:siRNA from 1 species